GGGGUACGUGUUAAGGACAAGCGCACAAAGAGGUUGUUGAUAAAGGGAAGAAACAUUAAAGGUCUGUACCUGUUGGAGCCGUCUGCAGCGGCUUGCACCUUGAUCUCCUCUAGACAACAUUCAGUUUCUGAUGAGGUUUGACAUAGGAGGCUGGGGCAUCCGAAUCAUCAAGUUCUCCAACAGCUUUCUGCAUCAAAAUCUAUUUCAAUAAGUCGAAGUACCAAGAGGAUUUGUGAGAGUUGUCAGCUUGGGAAAAGCAGUAGAUUACCUUUUUCAGCU
rnacentral:lncRNA from 1 species